rnacentral:rRNA from 1 species
AUUGAACGCUAGCGGGAUGCCUUACACAUGCAAGUCGAACGGAGUGGCGAACGGGUGAUUAAUGUAUCGGAACUUGCCCCGUAGCGGGGGAUCCCUCCGCGAAAGCGUAGCUAAUACCGCAUACUAUUAGAGCGGCCUCUCUCGGAUUAGCUAGUUGGUGGGGUAACGGCUCACCAAGUCGACGAUCCGUAGCUGGUUUGAGAGGACGACCAGCCACACUGGGACUGAGACACGGCCCAGACUCCUACGGGAGGCAGCAGUGGGGAAUUUUGGACAAUGGGGGAAACCCUGAUCGAGCCAUCCCGCGUGUGUGAUGAAGGUCUUCGGGUUGUAAAGCACUUUUGGCAGGAAAGCGGUACCUGCAGAAUAAGCACCGGCUAACUACGUGCCAGCAGCCGCGGUAAUAC